CAAGAAUGGAGAUUCAUGUUGUGUUCUGUUUGAGGUCUCGUUUGCUAAAUUUUAAUUUAACAAAAUUUAGGAACAUGAUUCUCAGACGGAGGGCGAUAACACCUACAGAUCUUCAG
rnacentral:precursor_RNA from 15 species